rnacentral:misc_RNA from 1 species
UUGUUUUUAAUUAAAUUCAGACUCAGACGACAUAAUUCAUCCAGAGUUUAAUAGGAGGCCACCGACGGGCACGAGCCAGGGGCGAUGAGACCCCCCCGGCAGUCCAGACGUGAGUCCAGACAGGCCCGCCGAAGCAACGUGGUUAAGUAGACACAGGGUGGGAGAUCGGGCCUGAGAAGACCCUAACUCGGUAAUGAUCCUUCCGCAGGUUCACCUACGGAAA